rnacentral:lncRNA from 1 species
AAUCAAAUUGGAAAUUAUGGAAUUUGUGAAUUUCCUGAAGAAUCCCAAGCAGUAUCAGGACUUAGGAGCAAAAAUUCCAAAGGGAGCCAUGCUCACUGGUCCUCCUGGUACCGGCAAGACCCUUCUUGCCAAAGCAACUGCAGGGGAGGCCACUGUGCCCUUCAUCACUGUGAACGGGUCUGAGUUCCUGGAAAUGUUUAUUGGCGUUGGGCCAGCAAGGGGUUCAACUCUGCCACCAACGUCGUGGUGUUGGCUGGCACCAACCGCCCUGACGUCCUGGACCCGGCCCUCAUGCGGCCUGGCCGGUUUCAUCGCCAGAUUUACACUGGUCCCCCUUACAUUAAAGGCAGGUCCUCCAUCUUUAAGGUCCACCUGCGCCCACUGAAGCUGGACAAGAGCCUCAAUAAGGACACCCUGGCGAGGAAGCUGGCAGUGCUCACCCCAGGCUUCCCUGGU